UUGAAGAGUUUGAUCAUGGCUCAGAUUGAACGCUGGCGGCAGGCUUAACACAUGCAAGUCGAGCGGAAACGAUUCUAGCUUGCUAGAAGGCGUCGAGCGGCGGACGGGUGAGUAAUGCAUGGGAAUCUGCCCGAUAGUGGGGGACAACCUGGGGAAACUCAGGCUAAUACCGCAUACGUCCUACGGGAGAAAGCAGGGGAUCUUCGGACCUUGCGCUAUCGGAUGAGCCCAUGUCGGAUUAGCUUGUUGGUGAGGUAACGGCUCACCAAGGCGACGAUCCGUAGCUGGUCUGAGAGGAUGAUCAGCCACAUCGGGACUGAGACACGGCCCGAACUCCUACGGGAGGCAGCAGUGGGGAAUAUUGGACAAUGGGCGAAAGCCUGAUCCAGCCAUGCCGCGUGUGUGAAGAAGGCCUUAGGGUUGUAAAGCACUUUCAGCGAGGAAGAACGCUUCGGGAUUAAUACUCCCGAGGAAAGACAUCACUCGCAGAAGAAGCACCGGCUAACUCCGUGCCAGCAGCCGCGGUAAUACG
rnacentral:rRNA from 1 species